rnacentral:lncRNA from 1 species
AAGAGUGUGGUGUGGGCUUUAUGGCAAAAGGUAUGCAGUAAACAAAAGGAGGGUGUGGUGGGGUUUAUCAACUUGAAAUGAUGUGGGUGAUGGAACUAUGGAAAGGUCAGAACCUGAUACCUGCUUUCUUUUUGAAAAGAUAAUCAACUUUUAUAAAUUUGUGAUAAAAAUAACAAUAAUAAAUUCUUUAACAAAAUUAUAUUACUAGAGAUUGUAAUUAGAUAUUAUUAUUCAGGUUUAAAUAAUAACCCGCCAUUUGAUUCAUGUUUUUAACAUUCAGAAAUUAUUAAAUAUUGAUUUUCAUACAUGAUUAUAUUGUGUUAGUUUCUAGUGAUUAUUAGUGACUUCUCUAUUGCUAGUAGUACCCUGAGUCAUGCUUCACGCUUAUGUGUAAUUGCCUCUUCUCACUUCUAAUCAUCUCUCGCAUUUUGCCAUGUAUUUUGAUAGUAAUAGUGUCAUGGUCACUAAAAUACAGGAGGCCGACACACCUCAUGCAUAAGGACAGCUCAAGAAAAGUACAAGCAUCCAGGAUAUUCUCACAGAUUUUGUUACUAACAAAUUCACAAAUUCUGUUAUUUGCAAUUCGUGCAUCCAUUCUUUACUCUUCACUAUUUUCUAUUAAACCAUAAAUAGUUGCCUUUUCUGGUACAUGAUAAUUGGGAAGUAAAAAUUUUAACUUUUCUUGGUGAGUCUCAUUUCUGAUAAAUCAAGAUGAUAGGAAUGCUCAGUAAGAAUCUGGUAGACACUUGCUAUGACUUGGCCAGCUCUUGCAUUUCCUCCAAUUAUACACUUAAUCCUUUGUGAAUUGUGCAUCAAUUCUAGAUUCUGCUGCAACAAUAAUAGUAAACCUGACUUGGCUCGACAGCAUGUUCAAUUUCAAAGAACUUAUAUAGCCGUUAUAAAUUGACAAUAACAAGUUUAUUUCUAUAUUGAAUUCUUUUGAACCUGUAAAUUGGUUUGUAUAUUAAUCCAAAGAUCACUUUUAUUGAAAAUUAGCACAUAAUCAGAAUUUACUCAUACUAAUAUAAGUCCUAAAUUUUGAUUGGAUACUUCAGUUUUUGCCUUUACAUUAGUAAUAGACUAAUAGUAAAUAGUAAUAUGUCAUUGUAAUGUCUAGACUCUAGAGGCUUUUAACUUGUCUCUGAUUAGAUGCUUCUUACAAGCUAUUUUCCCAAAUUACAUUGUACUGGCUUGACAUUGUGAUUGUUGCAGAGCUUGACAGGGCAUAAUAUCAGUUGGAGAGGGUUCAGACUUUACUGGUGUCCCAAGAAAAUUCUGGCAGUAAAUGACACUUCACACAUGAGCGCUUCAGACUUGGCAUCCAUGUGCUUCAGACUUGCAAUUGUUGAGGUAAGAAGUUUUUUUUUUUUUUUUUUAAACUUCCUUUCUUCUGUUAGACAACAAUUGAUUCAAUCAUGGGCCAAAUCAACUUUGACUCUCUGACAAUGGUUGCCUAAUAAGAUUUGAUUAUUUCUAAACUGGGGCAUGAACUAACCCUUGGAUAGAAAUUUGAUUUUAAUUAACAUAAAACAGUGACAUUGAAAAUAAGCCUAAUAACAUCUACAUAUUCAUGUCAUGUUUUAUCAUGCAAGUAACUACUCGUCUAUGUAACUUCUUGCAGAUUGAAAAAAUGCUAUCAGCCAAGAAGAAGUCACUAUAUUGUACCAGUGAACCUGGAAGGUAACCAAUCAGGUUUUGCUGUCUGAGGCUGGAUCCUCCAUUAUAGUAUCCCAAACUGUUGAAGUUCCACGCACAUUGAAGUUUGAUAUAUAGUUUUUAAAUACAUCUUGUAUUUGCUUUUCUGGUAAGAGACAUGGGUAAAAAGAGUUAAAGUUUAAUUUAGUCAUCAAUUCAAUUUUAAUAAAAAUAGAGUUGUAUGUAAUUGUAAAGUAAUUUUGUAUGAUUUGAUUCGUUUAUGGAUAGAGUAAUGUGUCUCGGGAAAUUAAUUCAUUAGAGCUGUUACGUGAAAGUUU